rnacentral:rRNA from 1 species
GAUGAACGCUGGCGGCGUGCUUAACACAUGCAAGUCGAACGAUGAACCGGGUGCUUGCACUCGGGGAUUAGUGGCGAACGGGUGAGUAACACGUGAGCAACCUGCCCCUGACUCUGGAAUAAGCGCUGGAAACGGCGUCUAAUACUGGAUAUGUCCCGUCACCGCAUGGUGUUCGGGUGGGAAGAUUUUUCGGUUGGGGAUGGGCUCGCGGCCUAUCAGCUUGUUGGUGAGGUAAUGGCUCACCAAGGCGUCGACGGGUAGCCGGCUUGAGAGGGUGACCGGCCACACUGGGACUGAGACACGGCCCAGACUCCUACGGGAGGCAGCAGUGGGGAAUAUUGCACAAUGGGCGGAAGCCUGAUGCAGCAACGCCGCGUGAGGGAUGACGGCCUUCGGGUUGUAAACCUCUUUUAGCAGGGAAGAAGCGAGAGUGACGGUACCUGCAGAAAAAGCACCGGCUAACUACGUGCCAGCAGCCGCUGUAA